rnacentral:piRNA from 1 species
UGACAGAGGUUGCCUGCUAUUCCAGU